UACGUAGGGUGCGAGCGUUGUCCGGAAUUACUGGGCGUAAAGAGCUCGUAGGUGGUUUGUCGCGUUGUCCGUGAAAACUCACAACUCAAUUGUGGGCGUGCGGGCGAUACGGGCAGACUGGAGUACUGCAGGGGAGACUGGAAUUCCUGGUGUAGCGGUGGAAUGCGCAGAUAUCGGGAAGAACACCCGUGGCGAAGGCGGUUCUCUGGGACGGUACUGACGCUGAGACGCGAAAGCGUGGGGAGCGAACAGG
rnacentral:rRNA from 1 species